rnacentral:rRNA from 1 species
CCGUUGUGUAGAGUGGAAAUUACACCAAGUGACGGUAUCUAACCAGAAAGGGACGGCUACUACGUGCAGCAGCGCGUAUACGUAGGUCCCGAGCGUUGUCCGGAUUUAUUGGGCGUAAAGCGAGCGCAGGUGGUUUAAUAAGUCUGAUGUAAAAGGCAGUGGCUCAACCAUUGUGUGCAUUGGAAACUGUUAGACUUGAGUGCAGUAGAGGAGAGUGGAAUUCCAUGUGUAGCGGUGAAAUGCGUAGAUAUAUGGAGGAACACCGGUGGCGAAAGCGGCUCUCUGGACUGUAACUGACACUGAGGCUCGAAAGCGUGGGUAGCAAACAGGAUUAGAUACCCUGGUAGUCCACGCCGUAAACGAUGAGUGCUAGUUGUUUGGGGCUAUCCAGCCCUAAGUGACGCAGCAAACGCAUUAAGCACUCCGCCUGGGGAGUACGACCGCAAGGUUGAAACUCAAAGGAAUUGACGGGGGCCCGCACAAGCGGUGGAGCAUGUGGUUUAAUUCGAAGCAACGCGAAGAACCUUACCAGGUCUUGACAUACCAGUGCUAUUCUUAGAGAUAAGAAGUUACUUCGGUACACUGGAUACAGGUGGUGCAUGGUUGUCGUCAGCUCGUGUCGUGAGAUGUUGGGUUAAGUCCCGCAACGAGCGCAACCCCUAUUGUUAGUUGCCAUCAUUAAGUUGGCACUCUAGCGAGACUGCCGGUAAUAAACCGGAGGAAGGUGGGGAUGACGUCAAAUCAUCAUGCCCCUUAUGACCUGGGCUACACACGUGCUACAAUGGUUGGUACAACGAGUCGCAAGCUAGUGAUAGCAAGCUAAUCUCUUAAAGCCAAUCUCAGUUCGGAUUGUAGGCUGCAACUCGCCUACAUGAAGUCGGAAUCGCUAGUAAUCGCGGAUCAGCACGCCGCGGUGAAUACGUUCCCGGGCCUUGUACACACCGCCCGUCACACCACGAGAGUUUGUAAUACCCAAAGCCGGUGAGCUAACCUUUUAGGAGGCAGCCGUCUAAGGUAGGAUAGAUGAUUGGGGUGAAGUCGUAACAAGGUAGCC